rnacentral:rRNA from 1 species
AGAGCUCAAAUUUAAAAUCGGGCAUCUGUCCGAGUUGUAAAUUAGAGAAGUGUUAUCUGCGCUGAACUGUGCAUAAGUCUCUUGGAAAAGGGCAUCAUAGAGGGUGACAAUCCCGUCUUUGGCACAGACUCUCAGGGCUUUGUGAUGCACUCUCAAUGAGUCGAGUUGUUUGGGAAUGCAGCUCUAAAUGGGUGGUAAAUUCCAUCUAAAGCUAAAUAUUGGCGAGAAACCGAUAGCGCA